rnacentral:rRNA from 1 species
AUGGGCUUCCGAGAUAUACACUGUUUCAACCUGGCGCUAUUAGCUAAACAAGCGUGUCAUCUUCUUGAUAAUCCUGAAUCUUAAUGUGCAACCAUCUUGAGAGCUAAGUGUUUCCCUGAGGGAGAUUUGAUGAACGCAAGUUUAAAGAAGAGAUCCUCUUUUACUUGGCAAAGCAUUAUGGCGGGAGUGAACUCUUUGAGAAAUGGUUAUACCUGGCGAGUUGGAAAUGGACAAAACAUCGAUAUUUGAAGAGAUGCAUGGAUUCCAAUUUGUGCGAAUAGGAAAAUUAUUACUCCUAGAGGUGGGAAACUUCUGUCAAAUGUGGUUGAUCUUAUUGAUCCAAUCACGAAUUUUUGGGAUGAAGAUUUAGUGAGACAAACUUUGUUGCAAAUUGAUGUGCAAAGGGUCCUCGCGAUUCCCCUUCCUAUGCAUAAUAUGUCGGAUUUCAUUGCCUGGAGCUAUACAAAAAUUGGUGUAUUCACAGUUCGAUCAGCUUAUUUGGAGGAAUGGAACCAACAACACGGGAGGAAAUUGCAAUAUACUAAUGGUAUGGGUUGA